rnacentral:lncRNA from 1 species
CGUAGACUUGCAAAGGAAGCGGUAAAGAGCUGUACCCCCGCUCUGGGGGGUUUAUCAUCAGAAGGAGAGAGACCCGAGGGAGCCACCUGCCCACUCCAGAUGAGGUGCUCCGUGGAACACGAGGAGCACACGAAACCCGAUCAGCUUUGUGUGACUUCCGCGUGUGGGGUGGCACGCGUGUGCUUGCUAUUCAUUGUUUCUGCUGGGGGCAUUUUUAUCUUUUGAAAUUCUUUCUUCUGAACCUUUCGUGCCUACCAGAACCAGCCUGUCAGGAUGCGCCUGAUCUCCACAGCAGCCCCUCCAUCCGACUCUGAAGAAGCCGUCAGCUCACAGAAGAUUCCUUUUGUUUAAUGAGUAACAGCUACUGACUCACUCCAUGGCCCACCAGAAUGACAGACUCCUGUUCAAAAGCCUGAUCUGAAGUUGCUGCCAUGACACAAGCAAUGCCUGUGAAGUGCCUGCAGCCCACGCCUCUGAGACAGGCCAGGCGUGUGGUGGACACGCAGCUGCAGGCGCUUGCUCUCUGUCAUCACGAGAAAAAGUAUCCCUGCACCGGACAAGAAAGGACCUGCAGGCACACUCACAAUCAACUUCCUGAUUUCACAAUGAUGCGAACUCUCCAUCGGGACAUGGGACCUGGCUGUACGAGUUAAUUCAAACUGAGCCACUUUCCAUUAGGGCACCAAAUGGAGUUAGCAAUCCAAGAUUAUUUUAUUUUCUGGGCUAUCCAGAUGACUUAAAGCCUCGCUGAAGUUCCCAUGAGAAGAGUUUAAACAACCCAAAGAAAGCACGUAAGAAAGGAAUAACAACAACAAAACCCAGAAAGAAUGAAUAGGAAACAAAUGCAGUGGUUCCCCUUACCUGUGGCGAAGACGUUCCAAGACCCCCAGUGGAUAGUACCAAGCCCUAGAUAUAUGAUAUUUUUUCUGUAUACACACACACCUAUAAUGAAGCUUAAUUUAUAAGUUGGGAACAGUAAGAAAUUAGCAACAGUAACUAAUAUAACAAUAUACAAUAAUAAAAGUGAUGUGUGUGUGAUUUCUCUCUCUCAAAAUAUCUUAUUGUACUGUAUGCACCUAUUUUCAGAUCAUGGUCGACUGCAGGGAACUGAAACUACAGAAAUGAACACUUCCAAUAAGAGGCAACUACUGUUCUCAAACGGUAGAGUCAAA